CACGUAGGCACCAAGCGUUGUCCGGAUUUAUUGGGCGUAAAGAGCUCGUAGGCGGUUCGGUAAGUCGGGUGUGAAAACUCCGGGCUCAACUCGGAGACGCCACUCGAUACUGCCAUGACUCGAGUCCGGUAGGGGAGUGCGGAAUUCCUGGUGUAGCGGUGAAAUGCGCAGAUAUCAGGAGGAACACCGGUGGCGAAGGCGGCACUCUGGGCCGGUACUGACGCUGAGGAGCGAAAGCGUGGGGAGCGAACAGG
rnacentral:rRNA from 1 species